GACGAACCGUCCUAACGUUGUUCGGAAUCACUGGGCUUAAAGGGCGCGUAGGCGGGUUCCCAAGUCGGUGGUGAAAUCUUUCGGCCCAACCGGAAAACAGCCGCCGAUACUGGGAGUCUUGAGGGAGGUAGGGGUCGAUGGAACUUCCGGUGGAGCGGUGAAAUGCGUUGAUAUUGGAAGGAACGCCGGAGGCGAAAGCGGCGCACUGGAUCUCUUCUGACGCUGAGGCGCGAAAGCUAGGGGAGCAAACGGG
rnacentral:rRNA from 1 species